GACAGCGCACUUGUGAACAUCACACAGCACUCUGACUCUACUUUGCAACAUUCCAAGCAGAGAACUGCGGAUGAGCAGUGACGGCGAAAAGUCACCAAGUCGUCGCCAGUUUCAAUCCCGCAUCAAGACUCAACACACGCUGGUGUGAGUUAGCGCACCCUUCACUUCAGCUGACGCCGCAGUUCUGUUGGACCGACAGCAGGGUGGCCGACAAAAGCUACUGGACACUGGCGUACGCAUGCACAGUAUCUUCACUGUUGCCGAGGUGAUGGCUGUACUGCAGAGCAAUGGACGUAUUUCUGACGCCCAAGUAGACUCUGUCAAGCAAUUUGUCAAGGACAAUCAAUUUUAGGCGUACGUUCCUGUUCUGUUUUGCUGAUACCCGUACGCUGCUGCUGCUACUGGUUAUCUACAGGUUACGACUGGAGGGACUGGCGCGAACGUAGCCGUCGGAAGCCACCAAGCCAGCCCCAACCAAGAGGCUUUCCAAAGGUCCAAAGGUGCAUGAGUGUGUGUGUGCAUGUGUGUGCAUGUGUGUGUGUGUGUGCAUGUGUGUGUAUCCCGCAUCAUCCGUCGCCACCGGCUUCGUUGGCUGGGUCACGUCGGCAGGAUGGACGACUCACGCGCACCGAAGCAAUUGCUGUUCGGUGAGCUGCUUGCCCCCGUCCUCGUCACAGCCCGAAGAAGAGAUGGCGAGAUGUGGUGUCGACUGACCUGGCAGACCUCGGCGUGACCACCUGGCUUGAGAGUUGCCAAGAUCAUCCCGGCUGGAGACGAGUUGCGAGUAGCACUCCACCACCACGGCCCGCUCCGGAUCCUCUUCUAUGUGUCUGUGGACGCCCAUUUCGUCGACCAGGAGACCUGAAA